UGCCCGGAGGUAACCAGCCUUCCAUGUGGCUGAACAGAUGCCAGUGUACCUGAAUUCUGAGAGAAUUGGAUGUUUUCUUCUGCUUUUAAGAUUCCCAAUUUGAGAUGAUGUGCAGUUCAUAUUAGAUUUGCUAUUUCUACAGGUAAGACUGCUGAGGCUUUCAGUUUCAGAAUUAACUUGUGUACAAUUCCUGCAAAGCCACCCCAUAUUUAUUUGAUCUGUAAUAUUUUGCAGCCUUGAAUACUGUACUGUAUGUCUUCUCACUCUGUCCAGUAACUAACACAGGCUUUUUAAUUUUAGACAGGAAAGCCUCAGAGUGUGAAUCCUCACAAACAGACUGAGGAGCAUCGAUUCCAGCAGUCGCUAAACAGGGAUAUUGUUCUGUUUUACACAAUAUUUUCUCAAGUUACUGUGCUUUUGUUGGUUGUUUUAUAUUUAAAAAAAAAAGAGCUGAGACUUAAUUUUAACUUAACAAAACUAAGGCAGGAGAGGAAAAUGAAGAUGUUUUCAUGCAAGUACCAACACCUGAGCACAUCACAUUAGAUGUUCGGAUAUACAGAGAUUGUAGCACAACGUCUACAGUAUGUGUAAUGUCAAAGGAAAAAAAAUGAUGCUACAUAUGAGAGUAAAGCUGGGGUCCUUUCAACAUCCAACAAACCACAGUAAUUUAAAAAAAUAAAUAAAUAAAUAAAAAUUUACUCUAAGCAGACCUUUUCUCUAUUGUGAUGGUCUGCUUUGGUAAUGAUCUACAGGUGAACCAAUAAAGUAGGCAGAACAAUAAGUAAGGGUAUAUUUUAAUAUUUGAACUCCCUGAGUAAACAUCAUGUAUCUCCUGUGUAUGUUUUUAAUUGUUAUAGUGAAGUAGAAGAGUCUGGUCGUGAUAUGGGGUAGCAGUUAAAGGAGAAGGAUGGGGAGAUGUGUGCCAUGUUGAAGCAGAGGCUGCCCCUCCUGCCAGGCACUUCUAGAAUCCUCCAUCUCAGUCCCUGCUCUGAUCUGCUGUUCCUCUGCCAAGUGAUCAUGAGUUUAUUGCAGCAGUGCCCUGUGUUCAAAACCUUGGCUAACAUUUAUUAAAUAUUAAGAUGCAUGUCUUCCAUCCAUAAAAACAAGAAUAAUGAAGGAUCUAAAGACAUAUUCCCUCUUCUCUUCUUCUGGAAAUUCAGACAGCAAAUCAAAUUUCUGAAGGGCUUCCUCAAUGUUGUCUAUGUCCAUUACAGCUGCGCUUCUCCUUCUCUUGCCUUCCAUGUGGCUGAACAGAUGCCAGUGUACCCGAAUUCUGAGAUACAAUUGGAUGUCCUUUUCUUCUGCUUUUAAGAUUCUCAAUUCGGGAUGAUGUGCAGUUUAUGUUAGAUGUGCUAUUUCUACAG